UUUAAAUACAACCAUAAGUUUCUGUAUUCAACUUGAACAGUUUAUCUUAUUUUAUUUUUUAAUUAGUAUUUUUAUUGUUAUGAGAUGAUAAAACAUGAAUAAUACUUUAUACGUGACUUAUGUUUUUUAUUUUUUAAAUAAAAAAAUUAAAUAAGACGGACGGUCAAAGUUACGCAUGGAAAAUCAUACCUACAAUUAAA
rfam:Oryza glumipatula chromosome 6, whole genome shotgun sequence.